rnacentral:rRNA from 1 species
GUGUCAGCAGCCGCGGUAAUACGAAGGUGGCAAGCGUUGUUCGGAUUCACUGGGCGUACAGGGUGUGUAGGCGGUUUGGUAAGCCUUUUGUGAAAGCUUCGGGCCUAACCCGGAAAGCGCAGAGGGGACUGCCAGGCUAGAGGACGGGAGAGGAGCGCGGAAUUCCCGGUGUAGCGGUGAAAUGCGUAGAGAUCGGGAGGAAGGCCGGUGGCGAAGGCGGCGCUCUGGAACGUAUCUGACGCUGAGACACGAAAGCGUGGGGAGCAAACAGGAUUAGAAACCCCCGUAGUCC